rnacentral:rRNA from 1 species
AUUGAACGCUAACGGCAUGCUUAACACAUGCAAGUCGAACGGCAGCACGGUAGUAGCAAUACUAUGGGUGGCGAGUGGCGGACGGGUGAGUAAUACAUAGGAAUCUGCCUUGUAGUGGGGGAUAACCCGGGGAAACUCGGGCUAAUACCGCAUAAUCUUUACGAAGCAAAGUGGGGGACCUUCGGGCCCUACGCUAUAAGAUGAGCCUAUGCCGGAUUAGCUAGCUGGUGGGGUAAAGGCUCACCAAGCCAACGAUCUGUAGCUGGUCUGAGAGGACGACCAGCCACACUGGAACUGAGACACGGUCCAGACUCCUACGGGAGGCAGCAGUGGGGAAUUUUGGACAAUGGACGCAAGUCUGAUCCAGCCAUUCCGCGUGCAGGAUGAAGGCCCUCGGGUUGUAAACUGCUUUUGUACGGAACGAAAAGGUUUCCAUUAAUACUGGGAGCUCAUGACGGUACCAUAAGAAUAAGCACCGGCUAACUACGUGCCAGCAGCCGCCGUAAUAC